CCCGGCAUAGUGUAGUGGAAACACGAUACAUUGUCAGUGUAUUAUCGAGGGUUCAAUUCCCUCUGCCGGGAC
rnacentral:tRNA from 1 species